UAGACCUCUCAACCAAACCCUUCCUAAUUACCUCAUUUGGCCUUUCCUCUCCGGAACUGUUCUCAAGUUUUAGUGCGUAUGUGGUUCAGUGAGUUGGCUCCAUUUCUCCAAUGCUUGUUUGUUUUCAACACCUGCACGUUUUCUCAAAGGAGUGACCGCAGGACACCGAUUGCUGUUGGAUCAGUCUUGUAAACUGGACUACACAAUGCCUUUUCUAUUUAUAAAAGCUUGAGAAACUUUGCUGUGACGUUUGUUGGCGCGCCGAGGCAUGCUUGUGUCCAAAUGUCAACUCUGCAUCGUAAUCGAUCAAAACUGACAAUCAUCUUCAGUAUUUUACACAUCUCUCUGGCAAAUGCUGUUCAUAUAUUAUAGGGAUGCCAGAAGUUCUAGUACAUCGUUGCAAAGAUACAGGCUGAAAUUAGAGUGGGUGAUGCCACAGAAGCACAGCAGAGACAACGAGCAGAGACAAGAAGUAACUACAGUUCACCAUCUCUCUUACACCCACUGAAUUAAAUCACGAAACUUAUUUUAAACAACAACAACUGCACAACAUUUCAUUGUCUGCCUAUUUAAACACUGUAAUUGAGGCAGAAUAAUUUUAGCAAAAGCUUGAGUUUAAGAUUUUUAUUUUUUAGAUUGAACAAGUUUUUUUCGUAGCCACCAGAAUGAAAUCUGUAGACAAGUGCAGCCAAUAUUGUUAAAGUUGUGAAGUCGUAAUUAAAACGUCAAGUGUGCUCAAGUCACUUUGGCUGGAGAAAAAUGGUGACAUAGCUUUUCUACAACAAAUAAAGUAGUGUUUUUAA